AACGAACGCUGGCGGCAUGCCUAACACAUGCAAGUCGAACGAGACCUUCGGGUCUAGUGGCGCACGGGUGCGUAACGCGUGGGAACCUGCCCUUAGGUUCGGAAUAACUCCCCGAAAGGGGUGCUAAUUCCGGAUAAUGUCUUCGGACCAAUGAUUUAUCGCCUUUGGAUGGGCCCGCGUUGGAUUAGCUAGUUGGUAGGGUAAAAGCCUACCAAGGCGACGAUGCAUAGCUGGUCUGAGAGGAUGAUCAGCCACACUGGGACUGAGACACGGCCCAGACUCCUACGAGAGGAAGCAGUGGGGAAUAUUGGACAAUGGGCGAAAGCCUGAUCCAGCAAUGCCGCGUGAGUGAUGGAGGCCUUAGGGUUGUAAAGCUCUUUUACCCGGGAUGAUAAUGACAGUACCGGGAGAAUAAGCUCCGGCUAACUCCGUG
rnacentral:rRNA from 1 species